GAAGAUCGGCCGCGGACGGACUGCUCGCUAACCCGGUCAGGUCCGGAAGGAAGCAGCCGUAACGAGUUUCGUCCGGGUCGCGUGUUCGGUCUUCCAC
rnacentral:SRP_RNA from 2 species